GAUGAACGCUGGCGGCGUGCCUAAUACAUGCAAGUCGAGCGAACGGACGAGGAGCUUGCUUUUCUGAUGUUAGCGGCGGACGGGUGUGUAACACGUGGAUAACCUACCUAUCAGACUGGGAUAACUUCGGGAAACCGGAGCUAAUCCCGGAUAAUAUUUUGAACCGCAUGGUUCAAAAGUGAAAGACGGUCUUGCUGUCACUUAUAGAUGGAUCCGCGCUGCAUUAGCUAGUUGGUAAGGUAACGGCUUACGAAGGCAACGAUGCAUAGCCGACCUGAGAGGGUGAUCGGCCACACUGGAACUGAGACACGGUCCAGACUCCUACGGGAGGCAGCAGUAGGGAAUCUUCCGCAAUGGGCGAAAGCCUGACGGAGCAACGCCGCGGGAUUGAUGAAGGUCUUCGGAUCGGAAAACUCUGUUAUUAGGGAAGAACAUAUGUGUAAGUAACUGGGCACGUCUUGACGGUACCUAAGCAGAAAGCCACGGCUAACUACGUG
rnacentral:rRNA from 1 species